UCCGAAUUGGUGUAGGGGUUAACAUUGCCGCCUCUCAGACCGUGAGAAAAUUUCUGCGACCACGAUUCGCGGCAGCCCGGGGUUCGAUUCCCCGAUUCGGAA